ACCCACACCCGAAACCCAUACACCCACCCAAAAUAUUUUAUAAUUACCUAAUUAUCCCCAUAGUCUCCCUCAAUUUCCUUGGAAGACUUUAAAUUUUAGUUGUAAUUUAAUUUCUUGAAAGUCUAUGUUGUAAUUUCUUGAAAGUCUAUGUUUGAAUUUCCUUGGAAGACCUUAAUUUUAGUUGUAAUUUAAUUCAAAGUCUAUGUUGGAAUUUAAU
rnacentral:lncRNA from 1 species